AUGCUGGGGGUGAGGAAGGGCGCGGCGACUGUGGAGCUGGGGUCGCUGACCAUGAGGAGGAAGGGCGCCCCGCCUCCGCCUCCCCCCGUGGUGCCGGUGGAGGAGGGGAAGAAGGCGCCGGCGGUGGCGGUGGGGACGGGGAAGGUGUCGGCGGAGGAGGUGUGGGAGGUGCGGCCGGGCGGGAUGCUGGUGCAGAAGCGGGGGCCCGAGGAGGACGAGCCGGCGCCGGAGAGCGUCAAGCCGGUGCCCACCAUCCGGGUCAAGGCCAGGCUCGCCGGCAAGACCCACGAGAUCUACGUCAGCGCGGAGGCCACGUUCGGGGACCUGCGGAGGCGGGUGGCGGAGCGCGCCGGCGCGCACCCGGAGGACCUGCGCACGCUGUACAAGGGCAAGGAGCAGGACCCCAAGGCGUUCCUCGACAUGGCGGGGGUCAGGGACCGCUCCAAGGUCGCCGUGGUCGACGACCCCGAGGCCCGCGCGCGGCGCCUGCUCGAGGAGCUCCGCCUGGGCAGCCUCCGCAAGGCCGCCGGCGCCGUCGCCGCCGUCGCCGCCGAGGUCGACAAGAUCGCGCCCAAGGUGUCGGCGCUGGAGGCGUCGGUGCGCAAGGGGGAGAAGGUUGCGGAGAAGGACGUGGCGACGGUGACGGAGCUGCUGAUGAACGAGCUGCUCAAGCUGGACGCGGUGGUCGCCGGCGGCGACGUGAAGGCGCAGAGGCGCGUGCAGGUGAAGCGGGUGCAGAAGUACGUGGAGACGCUCGACGCGGUCAUGGCCAAGAACGCCACCAUCGCGAGCAAGCCCGCCGCCGCGAAGAAGCAGCCGCCACAGCCAGCGCCGGCGAGGCAGCAGCAGCCGCCGCAGUCGCAGCGGCAACGACACCCGACAGCUCCUCCGCAGGCGCAGGCCCCGGCGCAGACGACGCGGUGGGAGAUGUUCGACCUGCUGUCGUCGCUACCAACCACUUCGUCCUCCUCCUCCACCACCACCACCGACAGCUCCACCGCGUCCUCCGCCGGCGCGCCCCCGCCGCCCACCAACCGGCUCGACUGGAUGCUCUAG
rnacentral:rRNA from 1 species